ACGGAAGGCAGCAGUGGGGAAUAUUGCACAAUGGGGGAAACCCUGAUGCAGCGACGCCGCGUGAGUGAAGAAGUAUUUCGGUAUGUAAAGCUCUAUCAGCAGGGAAGAUAAUGACGGUACCUGACUAAGAAGCCCCGGCUAACUACGUGCCAGCAGCCGCGGUAAUACGUAGGGGGCAAGCGUUAUCCGGAUUUACUGGGUGUAAAGGGAGCGUAGUCGGCAUGGCAAGUCUGAUGUGAAAGCCCGGGGCUCAACCCCGGGACUGCAUUGGAAACUGUCAAGCUAGAGUGCAGGAGAGGUAAGUGGAAUUCCUAGUGUAGCGGUGAAAUGCAUAGAUAUUAGGAGGAACACCAGUGGCGAAGGCGGCUUACUGGACUGUAACUGACGUUGAGGCUCGAAAGCGUGGGGAGCAAACAGGAUUAGAUACCCUGGUA
rnacentral:rRNA from 1 species